AGAUCUUUCAUAAAGUUUUGAGCCCCUUACACCAACCAUGCUUUCUGUACUCCAAAAUGUUACAGUGCCAUCAGAUUCGAGUCAGCUGGAAAGAUCUGAACAGCACAGUAGCCAAACUGCGGCACUGUAGUGUGCUGCAGUGAUGGGUCUGACUUUGAGUCAGACACAGUACACCAGCCUACUAAAAGAGUAGCAGCUCAAGGUUCUUCAGUAGCUCCAAUAGCUAUUUCAUCUUUGAAGCGCAGCAAACAAGAAAACGUUGUCUGGAAGCUAAAGCUGGAGAAUGCAAAAGAAAAAAUUAAGUCCUUGUAGAAUGAAAGGGACUUCUUAAGGAACCAACUGUCUGAGGCUUUGGCGCUUGCAAAUAAAGAGGACCAAGUGACAGCAGCGCCCUCCUUGCACGAAAAGAGUAUUGAAAAAUCCUCUUCAUCUUCCUCCUCCACCUCCUCCUCAUCCUCCUCCGACAGUUCCUCCUCUUCCUCAUCAUCUUCUUCAGAAAGAGGGAAGAAGAAGAAGAAGAGGAACAACAGCAACAACAAAAAAGAUAGCAAGAAAAAAAAAGGGA